rnacentral:lncRNA from 1 species
UGGAACGUUAUUAUCUUAAUCCACUAAGCUUCUUAGUUCUUACAGCACAGAUAAAAUAGAGGAUUUGUUAUCAAGUGUGCAUUAUAAUCUGGUACAAACUUGAAAUUGAGAAAUUAAUGAGCAUAAUAAAAACUCGGCCAUCUGUGCAAGAAUGGAUCCCUUCUCUUCCUCCAGUUUCUCUAGGUUUUUGUCAUUCGCCUCUUUCAUCUGCUCUAUCCUAGUCUCGACUUCAUCCUUUGGUACAUG